rnacentral:rRNA from 1 species
AAAACGACUCUCGGCAACGGAUAUCUCGGCUCUCGCAUCGAUGAAGAACGUAGCGAAAUGCGAUACUUGGAGUGAAUUGCAGAAUCCCGUGAACCAUCGAGUCUUUGAACGCAAGUUGCGCCCCAAGCCAUUAGGCCGAGGGCACGUCUGCCUGGGUGUCACGC